AUGUCCAGAUCUCAAUAACAGUAACUUCAAUUACAAACCUAUUGCCAAAUUCGACAAACAACCAGGUACUCCAUUGUCCAUCGAGUGCAGAACAGGUUUUCUGUCCAACAAUAGUAUGGAAAUAACCCUGUCUACAUGCCAGGGCAAUGGAAGAUGGCAACCAAGUCCACCAAUGUGUGAGAGUUGCAUGUUGGUAUGCAAUGACACUAUUGUGGUGGAUUGCAAUCAUGUACCAGCAAUGGGAAUGGCAAUGGCAACUGUCAACUGUACUUGCGGACAAAACUUCCAAUGGACCAUGGGCAAAUGUCAACCAACACAUUGUCCAGAGUUGAACUCGACAACAGUGACGACUAUACCCAGGAGCACUACUGCCACCCGCAUCACUGCAUCAUGUAUGUCUGGUUAUGGCAAUAUCUCAAUGCCAAGUACAGUGAUUUGCCAAGCUGAUGGAACAUGGACUACACUACCAACUUGUCAAGCUCACCGAACAACUGAAGGUUACAACCGGACUGCCAUCG